UGUUAUGGCAACCCUCAAAGACUAACACACAAGGUAGUCAUUCCUUUUCUUCAGUCUCUACAAAAAUAAAUGGAAACCACUGACCUUAGAAGACUGGUCAGGGCAAGAAUGUAUCUACCAAACUCUUCACUAAAAAUCGACCAGAAAAACACACACGCUUGCUACAGGCAUCUUUGAUUUUUUUUGAGACUGCGAAAGGCAUCUGGGUAUCUUUUGCUUUAUUCCCUAAGGACACGGUGGAUGUUUUGUGUGGCCCAAGAAAAGCAGAUGCUGGAAAAAGCACCAGAAACUGCCCUUUGAAGUUUGCUACCAAGAUCUAAUGUCUUAACAGACCAAAUGCAUAUUUGGUGCCUACUGAGAAACCUUUACUCCUUUUGCUCUUCCUCAAAUCAAUGAAGGACAAAUUGACUUCUCUGAAAAA